rnacentral:rRNA from 1 species
AAUUUUGGACAAUGGGCGCAAGUCCGAUCCAGCCACGCCGCGUGAGUGAAGAAGGCCUUCGGGUUGUAAAGCUCUUUCGGGCGGAAAGAAAUCGGGCAGGCUAAUACCCUGCACGGAUGACGGUCCCGACAUUACAAACACCGGCUAACUACGUGCCAGCACCCGCGGUAACACGUAGGGUUCGAGAGUUAAGCGGAAUUACUGGGCGUAAAGCGUGCGCAGGCGGUUGAUUAAGACAGGCGUGAAAUCCCCGGGCUUAACCUGGGAACUGCGCUUGUGACUGGUCAGCUAGAGUACGGCAGAGGGGGGUGGAAUUCCACGUGUAGCAGUGAAAUGCGUAGAGAUGUGGAGGAACACCGAUGGCGAAGGCAGCCCCCUGGGCCGAUACUGACGCUCAUGCACGAAAGCGUGGGUAGCAAACAGG